CCUGUUUUUAUUUUUAUUAUGUAUUUUUUUCUUUUGGGGGGUUAUUUAAGUAAAAUUAAUUAAUUUUACAUUUUUGGAUUUGUGCUUUAGAGGUAACUUUGGUGAGAGAGGAGGUAUUUGGCUAGUGCACAUAAACACAGCAUAAACAUAACCACUUUUAAAAACUGGUUUCCAACUCUUUCUGGUUAGAUACAAGAGCUUUCAUCUGACCAUUGUCACUGCCACAGGGCCAAGGGAGAGUGAGGGUCUGGGCACAGGGACAGCUGUCAGUGUGGCCUGCUGUGGGGGAGCU
rnacentral:lncRNA from 1 species